rnacentral:tRNA from 1 species
UCCGGGAUCGUUCAAUGGCAGGACAGAGGACUUUGAAUCCUCGAAUCGUGGUUCGAAUCCACGUCCCGGAG